rnacentral:rRNA from 1 species
GAGUUUGAUCAUGGCUCAGGAUGAACGCUAGCGGCAGGCUUAAUACAUGCAAGUCGAGGGGCAGCAUGGUGUAGCAAUACACUGAUGGCGACCGGCAAACGGGUGCGGAACACGUACACAACCUUCCUUUAAGCGGGGAUAGCCCGGGGAAACCCGGAUUAAUACCCCAUAGUAUAGUGAGAGGGCAUCUUUUACUAUUAAAGAUUUAUCACUUGAAGAUGGGUGUGCGGCUGAUUAGGUAGUUGGCGGGUAACGGCCACCAAGCCUACGAUCAGUAACUGGUGUGAGAGCACGACCAGUCACACGGGCACUGAGACACGGGCCCGACUCCUACGGGAGGCAGCAGUAAGGAAUAUUGGUCAAUGGACGAAAGUCUGAACCAGCCAUGCCGCGUGGAGGAUGAAGGUCCUCUGGAUUGUAAACUUC